rnacentral:rRNA from 1 species
GACGAACGCUGGCGGCGUGCUUAACACAUGCAAGUCGAACGGAAAGGCCCUGCUUUUGUGGGGUGCUCGAGUGGCGAACGGGUGAGUAACACGUGAGUAACCUGCCCUUGACUUUGGGAUAACUUCAGGAAACUGGGGCUAAUACCGGAUAGGAGCUCCUGCUGCAUGGUGGGGGUUGGAAAGUUUCGGCGGGUGGGGAUGGACUCGCGGCUUAUCAGCUUGUUGGUGGGGUAGUGGCUUACCAAGGCUUUGGCGGGUAGCCGGCCUGAGAGGGUGACCGGCCACAUUGGGACUGCGAUACGGCCCAGACUCCUACGGGAGGCAGCAGUGGGGAAUAUUGCACAAUGGGCGGAAGCCUGAUGCAGCAACGCCGCGUGCGUGAUGACGGCCUUCGGGUUGUAAACCGCUUUCGCCUGUGACGAAGCGUGAGUGACGGUAAUGGGUAAAGAAGCACCGGCUAACUACGUG